rnacentral:rRNA from 1 species
GAGGAAGUAAAAGUCGUAACAAGGUUUCCGUAGGUGAACCUGCGGAAGGAUCAUUAACGAGUUCUGAAAGGGGUUGUAGCUGGCCUUCCGGGGCAUGUGCACACCCUGCUCAUCCACUCUACACCUGUGCACUUACUGUAGGUUUGGCGUGGGCUUCGGGGCCUCCGGGCUCUGAGGCAUUCUGCCGGCCUAUGUAUCACUACAAACACAUAAAGUAACAGAAUGUAUUCGCGUCUAACGCAUCUAAAUACAACUUUCAGCAACGGAUCUCUUGGCUCUCGCAUCGAUGAAGAACGCAGCGAAAUGCGAUAAGUAAUGUGAAUUGCAGAAUUCAGUGAAUCAUCGAAUCUUUGAACGCACCUUGCGCUCCUUGGUAUUCCGAGGAGCAUGCCUGUUUGAGUGUCAUGGAMUUCUCAACCCACACGUCCUUGUGAUGUUGCGGGCUUGGAUUUGGAGGCUUGCUGGCCCUCUGCGGUCGGCUCCUCUUGAAUGCAUUAGCUUGAUUCCGUGCGGAUCGGCUCUCAGUGUGAUAAUUGUCUACGCUGUGACCGUGAAGCGUUUGGCGAGCUUCUAACCGUCCUGUAUGGGACAACUUCUUGACAUCUGACCUCAAAUCAGGUAGG